UACGUAGGUGACCAGCGUUGUCCGGAUUUACUGGGCGUAAAGCGCGCGCAGGCGGUCGUUCAAGUCGAGUGUGAAAGCCCCCGGCUCAACUGGGGAGGGUCACUCGAUACUGAUCGACUUGAAGGCAGGAGAGGGAAGCGGAAUUCCCGGUGUAGUGGUGAAAUGCGUAGAUAUCGGGAGGAACACCAGUGGCGAAGGCGGCUUCCUGGCCUGUUCUUGACGCUGAGGCGCGAAAGCUAGGGGAGCAAACGGG
rnacentral:rRNA from 1 species